CGGUGGGGAUUAGUGGCGAACGGGUGAGUAACACGUGGGCAAUCUGCCCUUCACUCUGGGACAAGCCCUGGAAACGGGGUCUAAUACCGGAUAACACUCCUGUCCUCCUGGACGGGGGUUAAAAGCUCCGGCGGUGAAGGAUGAGCCCGCGGCCUAUCAGCUUGUUGGUGAGGUAAUGGCUCACCAAGGCGACGACGGGUAGCCGGCCUGAGAGGGCGACCGGCCACACUGGGACUGAGACACGGCCCAGACUCCUACGGGAGGCAGCAGUGGGGAAUAUUGCACAAUGGGCGAAAGCCUGAUGCAGCGACGCCGCGUGAGGGAUGACGGCCUUCGGGUUGUAAACCUCUUUCAGCAGGGAAGAAGCGAAAGUGACGGUACCUGCAGAAGAAGCGCCGGCUAACUACGUGCCAGCAGCCGCGGUAAUACGUAGGGCGCAA
rnacentral:rRNA from 1 species